UCCUGUAUUCAAAAGAGAUUGGGGGCUUCCCACGCCCUGGUCAUUGCUACUCCAGGGAGAGGAUGCCAAAAGCCUUUCCUGUCUUUGGAAGGUCCACUCCUGUCCUUGACAAGCUUUGAUGCUUUCGAACA
rnacentral:snoRNA from 1 species